UUCACAUUGUUUCUGGGUGAUGGUGUGUUGUGCGUGGAAUUGCAUCACUCUGUACAUCAUCUGAUGUAGUAUAAUGGCUGCCCCAUAUCCUGUGAUAAUCGUGUUCAGUCUCCCAUCUUGGCUCAAAAGAUCAUCAGCUGUUGGACCUAAACCAUCUGCAGGUCUGAAGCUGUUAUAUAGUGUUUGAAACUGCGAUUUCCAGAGUUGUCACUCUUGACCUCAUUGUGGGCUUUCUGCAGUAUCAAAGAAUUGACAUAAUGUAUCUUCAAAGUCUUCUGAGAUCCUGCCCAGCUUUCGGAAACCCCCUCUUUUUCAAUUGUGUGCCAUGGACUCUGCUUCAAAGUCAGAUCCUGUCUCUGAGGUUUAAUCCCUCACUGUAUCGUCUGCUUACAGCAUGCACUGCUAACUGCAUAUUGAGAUCCCAGUAUGGAGCAUCUCAGGCUAUGGGCUUCAUGUUCCUUGUCUCUAAAUAAGGCUCUUUAAUUCCUUUUUACUGUAACACUCCUUUAUUUACUUUUGUACAGAGUGUGUUACCAAAUACUGCUCUGUGGUGCAAUUUCACUUACUCAUUCCAUGCUAAUGUCUUCUCUCCUCUUGAUGUCAGAAUUAUGUGAUAAGUUACAGCAUCAGUUUGUGCCUUCUUUAACUGUGCAGUCAGAGACAGUUCCAGGAGAUUGACUAAGCAAUUGAAGAAGAACUGGAAUAUAGUCUCACAUGAGAAUGGCUUGGAGGGGAACCUCCAGGCAGUGGUAGUGUUUCUAUCUGUAUGAGGUUCUUGUCCAGAGACAAUAGGUUUGAGAGAUGAUGACAAAGAAUGUCUGGCAUGUUGGGGUAUUGCAUCCUGUAGGUGGUUCACAUUUUUACUAUUUCACGUACCUGUAGAGAACUUCUGUAUUUCCUCUUACACAAGCUGUCAGUCUCGGCUCAUACUCUCUAUUUGCCUCCUUAAUUCCACUUUCAUGAUGUUUCCACACUCUCAGUUUACUGUGUACAAUAUAUACUUGUAUUGUCUUCCUUUUUGGCCACAUAUCAACUAGCUCUAUUCUCUUAUUUACUGGUAUGUAUUCACUAACAUGUGGCAGAAGGAAUAGCCUAUUUGCAGGACCUCCUCUCUCUCCUUAGAUUUUUUUAUUAGUAUCAAUAUUGAUUAUGAAUUCUGGAUAUUCAUUCUCUCUAUUAGAAUGCUCUACAGCUGCGAGGGGUAUUCUUCAUUUUAAAGAGAGGGAUUACACCACAUUUUAGAUUCGUAUUGUAGUUAUAGAAUUGCUUGUUCAUUUAAAAAUAGAAUCCCUUUUCAUUAUUGCUUUCCCAAACUCCAUUCAAUUACCUGCCUGUCCAAAUAGCUGAACCACCCAUUGUAUUAUGUAGCUGGCUUAGCUACACUCGACAGAGGAAAUACUACCCUCAUCAGUAUUCAGAACUGGACAGUGUUUGGACAGCAGGAUGCAGUUAUGACUCCAGGGGCCUCAUGACUUGAACUCCCUCAACUGUUGUAGUCACCCAGUUUUUCUAUGUUCUUGACUAGCUGAGUGAUCACAUCCAGAUGGCAUGGUGGCACAUUGGUUAGCACUGCUGCCUCAUAGCCAGAGACCCGGGUUCAA